AAGACUAUACUUUCAAGGAUCAUUUCUAUAGUUUGUUACUAGAGAAAUUUCCCUGGACAUCUAGAGCACACACAUAAA
rnacentral:snoRNA from 1 species